rnacentral:rRNA from 1 species
GUGCCAGCCGCCGCGGUAAUACAGAGCCUGCGAGCGUUAAUCGGAUUUACUGGGCGUAAAGCGCGCGUAGGUGGCUAAUUAAGUCAAAUGUGAAAUCCCCGAGCUUAACUUGGGAAUUGCAUUCGAUACUGGUUAGCUAGAGUAUGGGAGAGCUUGGUAGAAUUCCAGGUGUAGCGGUGAGAUGCGUAGAGAUCUGGAGGAAUACCGAUGGCGAAGGCAGCCAUCUGGCCUAAUACUGACACUGAGGUGCGAAAGCAUGGGGAGCGAACAGGAUUAGAAACC